CUAAGAGAUUUGGAGAUUAAGUCACUCCAGUAGGAACUGUCAUUGCUUCAUAACACAACUGCAGAUCCUAAGCAAAACCACAGGAUGACCAACCGCGAGAAGGAACCACAGGACAGUGCUUUAAAAGGUCAAUAUGCUUUUAUAGCCCAGCUAACUUUUAAAUAAAAAACACUGUUAUGCAGUUAUGUGAACAAAUCAGAACCUUUCUUUAAUGGCAAACUUACUACCAAAGGAGAUGAAGAUGUAUUUCCACGAGACCCGAAUUGUGUUACCCAGAAAUUCACUUGUGAUAAAGGAACGUGAAUCAGCACUCGUUCUGGUACAGAAUGGGAGACUGAAGCUUGGUGCAGGAACUUGUGUACACAUAAGACUCCGAUAAUUUGUCCUUAGACCAGAUUGAAGACAUGAAGAUUUUUAUGAGUCUUAUUUUCCUAGAAAAUAAGAACCACGCAAGUCCCUGAUUACAGCUUCUUCAGAGUGCUUGGACAUUUCAAGUUUAGGAAUAAACAUAAAACUUCUACAGUACAGGUUAACAUAUAUCCACUGGCUGUGUCCAAAGGAGUUAGUCAUUAAACGUGUUUGGUUGGUUUUAAUAGACCUGUUUAGAAUCCCUAAUUAGGUCCAAUCUUAAGAAUAC
rnacentral:lncRNA from 1 species